rnacentral:lncRNA from 1 species
GGCUGAGGCGGCUGAGGCAGUAGCGGCAGCAGCGGCGACGCGUCCGGGCAGGUGAGCGCGACCCAAGGAGUGCAGGCGCCAAGGGGCGACGCGGGGUGGCGGGGUUCUCGCGGCCCGGGCUGGGAGGAAGCGCGGCAUGGGGCCGUUUCGUUGUGACAGCAGUGUCGCGAGCGUGGAGAGGUGACAGAUCCCCUCACACACCCUGUGUUUCGCGCGUCCUCGGGGUCCCCACGGCCAGGCCGAACCCUAAUUUCACACCGAGCUGCCCUGAGAGUGACAACCCCUGUGAGGCCAAGGUGGCCGCUUACGCACCCAACAUGCGUGCCUCGCAGACCUGAUCUUCCUCAGCCCGCUGCGUGUCCUUCCUUUGGAACCCGGGUGGACGCUUCGGGUGCAAGCUUCGGGUGCCACCCGGACGCGGCUGCUACACACGUGCACCUGCGUGCCUCUCCCCGUCCCUGUCGCGCAACCAUCGCUUCACUCCCAAAGCAAAGUCCACCUAACUUGUGGUUUUAAAUUUUUUAUUUUCGUCCCCCGUGUAGUGCGAGUGGUGGCUUGGUUUUGGAAACCGUGUUUCACUGUGUAGAGCCAGCUGGUCUGGAACUCACAGAGAUCUCCCUGCCCCUGCCUCCCAAGUGCCAGGAUUAAAAGUGUGGGGUACCACCUGGUCUGUUAUUGCUUUAACAGGGCUUUUAAAUUUAUUUCUAGCAUUUCAUUUUAUUGUAUUUAUUUAUUGAUUAGUUUUGGAGUCAAAGUCUUGCACUGUAACCCAGGUUGUCCUUGAACUUUUAUAAAGAGUGCUUGAGGUCAGGUGAGAUGGCUCAGCAAACUGAGUUUUUGGGAACUGCCAAAAGUUGUCCUCUGAUCUCUACAUGGGCUCUGUGGCACACACGUAAAUACACACACACACACACACACACACACACACACCACAAUAUGUAUAUGUAUAUGCAUAUAAAAUCACUUCUUGACACAGCAUGAUGUUAUGAGUCAUCUGUGCACUGAACAGGUAGAGGUAGGAUCAGAAGUUCAAGGUUACCUUGGCUACACACAGUGAAUUUGAGUAGCCUGGUCUGUUUAAGACCUUGUUUCACAAAAAGAAAGGAAAGAAAACUAAUGAGCAAACAGUGCAUAGACGGGAGUGGAGUUGGUAGAGUGCUUGUUUGAAGUUGGGGGUUCCAUUCCUAGCACCAGAGAAACCAGGUGUGGGGGUACACACUUAUCAUCUCAGCAGGGGGAUCUGGAGUUCAUGUCCAGCCUGGGCUACUCAGAGGCCCUGUCUCAAAGACCAAUAACAAACAAAAAUCUCAGGGCUGGACAGCUUUUGAGUCAUUUCUGGACUUAGAAUAAUCUCCUCAGCCUGAUGCUCAGAGCAUCCCAGUUCACCAACCAGAAGUCUGAAGCCCUCAAACGCUGCAGCAGGCUCUGCCUGGCCCCCUUGAGCCUUGUCUGUGAGCCAGCUCCUGUCAAAGGCUGCUUACUGGUGUUUCUGUCUCUUGAGUUAGUGGAGGAAGGGAGCCCCCACCAUACUCCACCCCAUUCCCAGGCAUUUCUCCCAAGUCGUGACUGAUGAAUCCGGAAAUGCUUAGCUGGAAGGGACAGCCCCUAGGUGGCUGCCUGAGCUUGUGUCUCCAGGCUUUGGAGGGUGUGGAGGCAGGCUGGAUUGGUGGGCUGCUAAACAUCUGGGGCGCUGUUGGUUGCGGUCGGACCAGGCCUUCUCCGUGACCUGCCCGAGUUCCUUGCUGCUGUUCAACAGUAAGGAAAUACUUCUCAGAGUUGGGAGAGCUAAUGUUUCAACUGCUUAAAGCGUCAGUGCAAAAAGGUGGGGGCCUGAACUGGGGAGGAAGGUUUUUCUGGCAGUUUUUUAGUUCUAAGUCUAAUUUCCAUGUGUGUAGGAGGACAGUGGCUUUGUUAUGAAAAAUCAAUAAAGGUCUUAUUUCCUGUAAGGCUGUCCCAGUGCUGUCACUCUCAGUGGUCUCUCCCUUCACUGAGGAUAGUGCCAGAAUGUUCCUCCUGCUCAUGUCACCUUCAGCUUCUCCUGUGGAAACUGUAGCCUUUGGGACUUUCCAUUUGAUUUCAAGCAAGGUCAUGGGGUACACUCAGUAGUAGAAUACUUCCUUAGUAUUUUCAAAGCCUUUGGUUUCACCCCAGCCUUGAAAAAGAAAAUUAUAUGUGUAUAUAAUAUAUGUGUACUUAUAUAUAUGGUUAUGUGAGCUGUGUGCAUGUAUGUAUGUCUAUGAGUUUACUGUAUGUGAAUAAGGCACACAGACACACAGAGGCCAGGGAAGGAUGUCUGGUGUUGCUUCAGCAACCAUGCCUGGCUUUUUACGUGGGUGCUGGAGAUUUGAACUUGGGUUUUCAUGCUUGUCUGCAGCAAGAGCUCUUACCUCCUGAACCAUCUGCUCAGCCUCUCUGUACACAUUCUUUUACACACACAUAUAUAACGUGUACAUAAAAUUAGAUUUUGAUGAUAUAAGUGAUACAGGUAGUUUAAAAAAAAUCAUUAUGUGCCAGCAAUGGUGUAUUUAAUUCUAGCCCUUGAAAGAUAGAGGCAGGAAGAUCUUUGUGAGUUUUAGGCUAGCCUGGUCUAUGCAGUGAGUUUUAGAAAAACCAAGGCUACAUAGUAAGACUAUUUCCAAUAAAUCAAUAUUUUCAGGCAUGCUGUGCACUCCUUUGAUCCUAGUACCAGAGAGACUGUUCAAGGCCAGCCUGCAAUACAUAGCAAGAUCCUAUUAGAACAGAACAAUAAGAAAAAUAGUUAUAAUCACAUGAGUAUAGUGGUAAGGCUUACAGUCCCAGAUAAGGGAAGCUGAGACAAUAUUGAAGCCAGCUUGGACUCUACAGCAAGACCUUGUUUCAAUAAAACAAAACAACCAAAACUCCCCAGAAGUGCCUGUUUUAUGCCCACUACCAUCUUAGCAUUUAGAAGGAGGAGACAGGAGUAUAAGAGUUCAAGGUCAUUUUUAGCGACACAGAAAAUUCAAGGUCUUUUCAGAUUACUUGAGACCCUGUGUCAAGC